rnacentral:rRNA from 1 species
CGAAGGCUUCGGCCUUAGUGGCGCACGGGUGCGUAACGCGUGGGAAUCUGCCCUCAGGUUCGGAAUAACAGUUGGAAACGACUGCUAAUACCGGAUGAUGACGUAAGUCCAAAGAUUUAUCGCCUGAGGAUGAGCCCGCGUAGGAUUAGCUAGUUGGUGUGGUAAAGGCGCACCAAGGCGACGAUCCUUAGCUGGUCUGAGAGGAUGAUCAGCCACACUGGGACUGAGACACGGCCCAGACUCCUACGGGAGGCAGCAGUGGGGAAUAUUGGACAAUGGGCGAAAGCCUGAUCCAGCAAUGCCGCGUGAGUGAUGAAGGCCUUAGGGUUGUAAAGCUCUUUUACCCGGGAUGAUAAUGACAGUACCGGGAGAAUAAGCUCCGGCUAACUCCGUGCCAGCGCCCCCCG